AUGAAUGACCCUCUUGGGUCUUCAACCCCAAAAAACCGUGGAAUCUUUCCGUGUUUCGACGCCCUCGUGGCGUCGUAUUAAUGCAACCGAACUGUCUAUGUCUGAAUCCUAUCUAGAAUUA
rnacentral:misc_RNA from 1 species